rnacentral:rRNA from 1 species
UACGGAGGGAGCUAGCGUUGUUCGGAAUUACUGGGCGUAAAGCGCACGUAGGCGGCUUUGUAAGUUAGAGGUGAAAGCCCAGAGCUCAACUCUGGAAUUGCCUUUUAGACUGCAUCGCUUGAAUCAUGGAGAGGUCAGUGGAAUUCCGAGUGUAGAGGUGAAAUUCGUAGAUAUUCGGAAGAACACCAGUGGCGAAGGCGGCUGACUGGACAUGUAUUGACGCUGAGGUGCGAAAGCGUGGGGAGCAAACAGG